CGGGGUGAGUAAUGUCUGGGAAACUGCCUGAUGGAGGGGGAUAACUGCUGGAAACGGUAGCUAAUACCGCAUAACGUCGCAAGACCAAAGAGGGGGACCUUCGGGCCUCUUGCCAUCGGAUGUGCCCAGAUGGGAUUAGCUAGUAGGUGGGGUAACGGCUCACCUAGGCGACGAUCCCUAGCUGGUCUGAGAGGAUGACCAGCCACACUGGAACUGAGACACGGUCCAG
rnacentral:rRNA from 1 species